rnacentral:rRNA from 1 species
CGGGCGGGGAUUAGUGGCGAACGGGUGAGUAACACGUGGGCAAUCUGCCCUGCACUCUGGGACAAGCCCUGGAAACGGGGUCUAAUACCGGAUAUGACUGUCCAUCGCAUGGUGGAUGGUGUAAAGCUCCGGCGGUGCAGGAUGAGCCCGCGGCCUAUCAGCUUGUUGGUGAGGUAGUGGCUCACCAAGGCGACGACGGGUAGCCGGCCUGAGAGGGCGACCGGCCACACUGGGACUGAGACACGGCCCAGACUCCUACGGGAGGCAGCAGUGGGGAAUAUUGCACAAUGGGCGAAAGCCUGAUGCAGCGACGCCGCGUGAGGGAUGACGGCCUUCGGGUUGUAAACCUCUUUCAGCAGGGAAGAAGCGAAAGUGACGGUACCUGCAGAAGAAGCGCCGGCUAACUACGUGCCAGCAGCCGCGGUAAUACGUAGGGCGCAAGCGUUGUCCGGAAUUAUUGGGCGUAAAGAGCUCGUAGGCGGCUUGUCACGUCGGUUGUGAAAGCCCGGGGCUUAACCCCGGGUCUGCAGUCGAUACGGGCAGGCUAGAGUUCGGUAGGGGAGAUCGGAAUUCCUGGUGUAGCGGUGAAAUGCGCAGAUAUCAGGAGGAACACCGGUGGCGAAGGCGGAUCUCUGGGCCGAUACUGACGCUGAGGAGCGAAAGCGUGGGGAGCGAACAGGAUUAGAUACCCUGGUAGUCCACGCCGUAAACGGUGGGCACUAGGUGUGGGCAACAUUCCACGUUGUCCGUGCCGCAGCUAACGCAUUAAGUGCCCCGCCUGGGGAGUACGGCCGCAAGGCUAAAACUCAAAGGA